GGAGAGGUUGCCGAGUUGGCUUAAGGCGCCGCUCUCGAAAAGCGGUUCUCCCGCAAGGAGACGUGGGUUCGAAUCCCACCCUCUCCGCCA
rnacentral:tRNA from 1 species